UCUAACAUGGCAGAAUAGUGCAAAAGACUUAAAAUCUUUAUAUAGAUUUAAUUCUUAUUAGAA
rnacentral:tRNA from 1 species